rnacentral:rRNA from 1 species
CAGUCGCCGCGGGAAUACGAAGGGGGCAAGCGUUGUUCGGAAUUACUGGGCGUAAAGGGCGCGUAGGCGGCCAUUCAAGUUAGAUGUGAAAGCCCUGGGCUCAACCUAGGAAUUGCAUUUGAUACUGUUUGGCUUGAGUUCGGGAGAGGUGAGUGGAAUUCCCAGUGUAGAGGUGAAAUUCGUAGAUAUUGGGAAGAACACCAGUGGCGAAGGCGGCUCACUGGACCGACACUGACGCUGAGGCGCGAAAGCGUGGGGAGCAAACAGGAUUAGAUACCCGAGUAGUCCCUGUCUCUUAUAC